AGAGUUUGAUCCUGGCUCAGGAUGAACGCUGGCGGCGUGCUUAACACAUGCAAGUCGAACGAACCUUCGGGUUAGUGGCGGACGGGUGAGUAACGCGUGGGAAUCUGCCCUCAGGAGGGGGAUAACGGCUGGAAACGGCCGCUAAUACCCCAUAUGCCGAGAGGUGAAAUGAAUUUCGCCUGAGGAUGAGCCCGCGUCUGAUUAGCUAGUUGGUGAGGUAAGAGCUCACCAAGGCAUCGAUCAGUAGCUGGUCUGAGAGGAUGAUCAGCCACACUGGGACUGAGACACGGCCCAGACUCCUACGGGAGGCAGCAGUGGGGAAUUUUCCGCAAUGGGCGAAAGCCUGACGGAGCAACGCCGCGUGAGGGAUGAAGGCCUCUGGGCUGUAAACCUCUUUUCUCAAGGAAGAAGAUCUGACGGUACUUGAGGAAUAAGCCACGGCUAAUUCCGUGCCAGCAGCCGCGGUAAUACGGGAGUGGCAAGCGUUAUCCGGAAUUAUUGGGCGUAAAGCGUCCGCAGGCGGCCUUUCAAGUCUGCUGUUAAAACGUGGAGCUUAACUCCAUCAUGGCAGUGGAAACUGUUGGGCUUGAGUGUGGUAGGGGCAGAGGGAAUUCCCGGUGUAGCGGUGAAAUGCGUAGAUAUCGGGAAGAACACCAGUGGCGAAGGCGCUCUGCUGGGCCAUAACUGACGCUCAUGGACGAAAGCCAGGGGAGCGAAAGGGAUUAGAUACCCCUGUAGUCCUGGCCGUAAACGAUGAACACUAGGUGUCGGGGGAAUCGACCCCCUCGGUGUCGUAGCCAACGCGUUAAGUGUUCCGCCUGGGGAGUACGCACGCAAGUGUGAAACUCAAAGGAAUUGACGGGGGCCCGCACAAGCGGUGGAGUAUGUGGUUUAAUUCGAUGCAACGCGAAGAACCUUACCAGGAUUUGACAUCCUGCGAAUCUCUUGGAAACGAGAGAGUGCCCUCGGGAACGCAGUGACAGGUGGUGCAUGGCUGUCGUCAGCUCGUGUCGUGAGAUGUUGGGUUAAGUCCCGCAACGAGCGCAACCCACGUCUUUAGUUGCCAGCAUUUAGUUGGGCACUCUAGAGAGACCGCCGGUGAUAAACCGGAGGAAGGUGUGGAUGACGUCAAGUCAUCAUGCCCCUUACAUCCUGGGCUACACACGUACUACAAUGCUACGGACAAAGAGCAGCAAGUUCGCGAGGACAAGCAAAUCUCAUAAACCGUGGCUCAGUUCAGAUCGUAGGCUGCAACUCGCCUACGUGAAGGAGGAAUCGCUAGUAAUCGCAGGUCAGCAUACUGCGGUGAAUACGUUCCCGGGCCUUGUACACACCGCCCGUCACACCAUGGAAGUUGGCCACGCCCGAAGCCGUUACUCCAACCCUUGUGGAGGAGGACGUCGAAGGUGGGGCUGAUGACUGGGGUGAAGUCGUAACAAGGUAGCCGUACCGGAAGGUGCGGCUG
rnacentral:rRNA from 1 species